CUGUUGCGGAAGUUGCAAGAUCCGCUGUUGUACUUGCAUCAUUCGCUGUUGUGGCAGUUGAAGCUGCUGCAGUUGUAGUUGCAGCAGUCGUUGCUAAUGCAGUUGUAAGGUCAUCUGUCACUGUUGCAGACGUUGCAGGAUCCGCUGUUGUACUUGCAGCAGUCGCUGUUGCCUCAGUUGAAGAUGCUACUGUUGUCGGAACAGCAGUCGUUGCUGCUGUAGCAGUAGUUGCAUCAGUCGCUGGUGUGGCAGUUGAAGCUGCUGCAGUUGUAGGUGCAUCAGUCACUGUUGCAGAAGUUGCCGGAUCCGCUGUUGUACUUGCAGCAGUCGUUGUUGUGUCAGUUGACGCUCUUGUGGUUGUAGGUGGAUCAGUCACUGUUGCGGAAGUUGCAGUUUCCACUGUUGUACUUGCAUCAGUCGCUGUUGUGGCAGUUGAAGCUGCUGCAGUUGUAGGUGCAGCAGUCACUGUUGCGAAGUUUGCAGCUGCUUUAGUUGUAGGUGCAUCAGUUGCUUUUAACAUAAUUAUUAAAUUAAUGUAUUAAAUAAACAAUUAUUAGCAACACAAAGCUUACAUUUUACUCAGUCAUUGUGAUUUAUAGGUGAUGCUUAGCUUACCCAUUAUAAUCAGGAAGAUUGAUAUUAUCUGUGCCACAGCCAUCCUUUUUCUUUUGAAUCCCUAUAAAUCGAUCAAAGUAGGGGUACAGUCACAUAACUCCCAUCAUGACAGCUUGUGAACCAGUCAAUUUAGUAGAACUAUUUCUUAUUCAAUUUUCCUACAGUAUUAAGAAAAUGAAAAUGUCAAUAUUCAUUAUAGCAGUAUGUUUAACUUUCAGGUACAACAUUCAAAGGAAAACAUCCAUCCAUUUUCAACCGCUUAUCCGGGGUCGGGUCGCGGGGGCAACAGCUCCAGCAGGGGACCCCAAACUUCCCUUUCCCGGGCCACAUCUACCAGCUCUGACUGGGGGAUCCCAAAGCGUUCCCAGGAGAUAUAAUCUCUCCACCUAGUCCUGGGUCUUCCCCGGGGCCUCUUCCCAGCUGGCUGUGCCUGGAACACCUCCCUAGGGAGGCGCCCAGGGGGCAUCCUCACCAGAUGCCCAAACCACCUCAACUGGCUCCUUUCGACGCAAAGGAGCAGUGGCUCUACUCCGAGCUCCUCUCGAAUGGCUGAGCUUCUCACCCUAUCCCUAAGGGAGACCCCAGCCACUCUCCUGAGGAAACCCAUUUCGGCCGCUUGCACCCGUGACCUAGUUCUUUCGGUCAUGACCCAUCCUUCAUGACCAUAGGUGAGGGUAGGAAUGAAGAUUGACCGGUAGAUCGAGAGCUUUGCCUUCUCUUUGCCUCUUUUUCUCAAAGGAAAACAUUUUGUUGACAAAAACAGUAUUUGUUAACCUCAAAACAAACCUUUCUUGAACUACAGAAAGUUUGAGACAAGGUAUGGAAUGCAACACACGUUUAAUACAAAAAAAUAAUAGACAUAAAAGAAAUAAAAGAAAAGAAUAAAAUGGAUGGGCCGUAUUCAAGGACAAGCUUAGGCGUAAAUUCAGAUUUGAGUCAAAUUAAGACUGGACAGGCUGUGCCGUUCCCUGUUGGCCCUCUCUCCCCUGGGGAGCACGGCCAGCUGAUUAGGGGCAGGGUCGGGUAGUACCAGCCACCGUAAAUCAAUGGCGUCGGUGCAGGCGAAUGUUAAAAACUGUUCUCUCUUUUGCUGUCAGUUGUCAUUUCAGUACCAAAGGUGACCCGCCACCACCCCUGACACCUCCAAUCUACAGCAGAACCUGGCAUAUCAUUGGAGCAAUUUAUCGUCUACCACUACCAUCAGUGUCUGGACUCCCAAAGGGGGGGAUAUGCCUCAUCUCGGCUCGACAUCCCGGGCCAAGCCCCAAACAUCUUUGCAAUAUAAAUAUAUGCCUGUUAUAACAAAGUGUUUUUCAAAUUUCAACAAUUCUCUCCGGAUCGUCCUGCUUCUCUGAGGGAGAAGGAAGAAUCGGGAGAAGGAAGAAUCUGUCCCUUUUCAGCUGAAUUUAGUCAUUUAAACUUCUGCUUGUACUUACGGCUUGUGUUGAUAAUUUCUGUAUUCUUAUAUAUUUUUCUAUAUUCUAGUUAGUAAUAAAUACUUAAUCACAAACAAGUUUAAAAUACUUGAUUGAUUUCUCACAAGGGCUUAAUCCAAGAAUUUCCACCACAACAUGUAAACUCGUUUUCUUGCUCUCUCUUUCAAACACACGCAGAGACUAUACAAAUACAGAAAUUUUUCUAUUGACUUAAAGAUAUACUUACAGGUGAAGAGAAAGAUGAAACGUUUUGAAUUCCCCACCCUCACUGCUCUUGAUGUUUAAAACUAUUUCAGUGUCUAUUUCGUCCACUUUGCACCAUGUUGCAAACCUUACAUCUGAUGUGACAAAAAUCUAUUGCGGUCUUUUAUAUGGACACAGUUUAAAGGCUAAAGACGUCACUUAUCAGCACAUUUUUUAGAUUUGAUGAUACACGUACACAAUGGCACAUGGUUAAACAAGUUUCUGGUGCAUUCCACCUACUUGAGCGGAAAAGGAAGUUCCACGAACAUUACAGUUGGUGUUGAAAUAGUGAUCGAUUGGAGGAAUAAAUACAUGAGACAAUACAAUAAAAAUACAAAACAAUAAUGCUCAUUUUAUACUCUUCCAAUAAAGUGACAGGUUAUUGGAUCAAUAUAAUCCAGUAAGAAAUCGAUAUAUUUAAGGAUUGUGAAUAUCACCUAGUAAUUUUCUUCUGACCUAAAUUCAGAAAAGAUUAGAUUUGUAUUUUAACCAUUGCAAUAUACUUGUUUAACAAUAACAAGUAACAGCAGCUGCUUAGGCUUUCUCUAGUCUUUUCCACGUUAAAUGUAACACACAAAAUGUAUUUUGAUACCAUUAAAUUUAAUUCAAAACCAGUUCCAUGAUUUUUCUGGCUAAAGUAAAGGUGUUUAUUACUUCUCUUAUUUUGUUUGGAUAAAACCAAUUAAAUCAACCAGGCCGUUUAAACUUUUACCAUUAAGCUUUUGACAUAAUUUAAACUAUCCCAUUGAUUGUGAUUGAAUAAACUAUUUUCUAGUGUUUUCUACAGUUCAAAGGUGCCGAUUGAAAUGUUUGACUUAUCACUAACAUCACUAUUUGUCAAGGGGUGUGCAUGGGAAGGCAGGACUCAAACGCAGACUUCUCAGAAAACAAAAGACUUUAAUAGUCACAAGGCAAAAGCAAACGGCAAAAACACACAGGAACCAGGGGGGGGGGGAAACAGCAGGCAGGAAACUACCAACAUCUACGACAAUGACGCGACAAGUGACACAAGAGACACACGGCUUAAAUACACAAGGGAGGUGCAGGUGAUUGGACACAGGUGGAAGCUAUUAGACGAUCACAGGGGAUGACGGGACAAGGCAGGAAGUGAAGUUACCCGGGGACACGAGUGGCAGAAAACUACAAAAUAAGACAGGAAGAGAACCACACCGUGACACUAUUAAACACGCACAAGAGAAAUGUUUCGUGUUAAAACUGCGUUGUUGUAAAACAUACAAAUGCAUUUGUACCUCAGCACUUUGACACAGCCAUGGAUUUGUAUGGAUUUGUAAAAAGAAAUAUUCUAUAUCCUUUCUACACUGUUAGUGGAGGUAACAACAGCACAUGUUAACUGAAACUAAAGGUUUCUCUGGUUUAUGUGUUUUAACUCAUUUAAAUAUGUUUCUUUUCAGUUUUACUUGUUUCUUUCAACGUCAGCUUAAGCUACGGCGCAAAUAAUGAAUACGCAGUGAUCUUCUGUCCCUGUAUUCUAUGAUGCAGGGAUGCCUACUUAAUGAUGUCUUUUGUAACAAAGACUAUCCCUGUGGUUCUUUUUGCGUUGUACUUCCCGGUGAUCAACAUUCCUUUGAUUUGUUUUGUUGAUAAAUGACGCAUUAGUUUCUUCUUUUUCCAUGACUUCCAUACCACAACAAAAAUCUCAAUAGACUACUGUUACAUAAUGUUUAAGUUUAAGGUUUUCAUAAAUCAAACUAAAGACGAUAUUCCUACAACUCAACAACGGAAAUAUAGCCGGCACAAUGAUUCAACAAAUCUGAAGUAUGACCUUCUCGAACUUAUGGGGCGACGGUAGCGCAUUGAGUACAGAGGGUGCGCCGGGAACCACAAGGUUGCCACUGUCCAAAAUGCUGAAACACCUUAUCCAAGACGCUGAAAAGCUAAUGUCAUUGUGCUUUAUUCAGCCCCUUGCACUGAAUUGUUCUCCUGGGCCCUGGGGCAAAGAAACACAUGCAUGAUAAAGAGCUAUUUACAAAUAAAUUGUUUAAAAGUAAAAUGUGUACCCCACUUUGCUGUCUACUGGUUAUCACUAUUUUAGUGAGACAAAAGAUGAAAUACUAUUUUUUGUUUAACUGAUCACUACGACAAUUCCUUCAUUGUUGAAGGUGAAAAAUAGGUUGCCCUCUCUAGUCAAAACACACACCUGGUUGUAAUCAGGAAACUUCUAAAUAUAGUUAUUGUUGCAUCAUAAUCAUGACAAAUCAUUUUAACUAUUUAUCAACAUGAAGACAGUGUUUCAUUAUAAUCAGCAUUUGAUACAUAGACGGUGCAAUCAUUAUCAUGUACUCACUGGGAUAGGAUGUGAUGAAGCUAAAGUUGAAAUCAGUGUAAUGGCUUCAUAACUCAUUCAUGACAUGUAGACAUUAGUGAAUUAGAUGUAUUUAUUACAACAGGGACAUCAAAUGUUGAAUACAGAGUAGCGUAGUUCCUGUUCACAAGCUUUAGCGUGUCCUUCUGCUCACGGCGUUUAUAGAGCAGGAAGUGGAAAGCUGCGGUCCAAGACGAACCGUCUCCUUCUUGUCUACAAAGGUCCAGUUGGUGAGGACAGCAGGGGUGGAGACGGACAACGUGGUUUCUAUGAAGACAGAGUACAAUAAGUUAUUCUGACCUACAGAAUCCUACACUUGUAUGGGUGAAUACAAUUUAAGAUAAAUGCUCGUAACCUACUGUAUAAAUUAAGAGUUACUUCUAGUUAAUGCUGAAUUGUUGUUGUUGGAAAACCCUUUUUACUUUACUUAGACAACAGAGUCUAACGUGUCUCUCUCACACCGACACGUUGUGUUCAGGGUCUGCUGAUAGUCAAGAUGUUUGUAUGUUAAUGUCCAGACAAUCUAGAGUGAACUUGUGGGGUAAAUGUGUGUCCUAAGGUGAAGAGCAUGAUGACGUAUAUAUCUGAGGGUGAUUACCAUCGCUCGGUGUUUCCAGCUACCUUUUUCAGUACCAGGGAAGAAGACAUUAGCGUAGCAUCAACGCAAUCACUUGUUUGUGUCUCAGUUCUGUCUCCUUCUCGCAGGUAUUAUUCAAUAACUGUGCUCUUUAAUGAUUUACAAUUAUUUUUACUGAUAGUAGGAUGAAGCAAGAAGGUAACUUUACAUUUACACUUUACUGCAGCUUUACACUCGAAUGCCUCCUACAUUUAGCCAGAAAAGAAUGCACUGAUUUCUAAUUGACGAAAAGGAAACCACUUUAAAGACUUCACAACAGCUGAACACUGUUUGUGAAUAUUCUUGCCGGUAUAGAUUACACAGUUUACAGCAAAUCAGCUGGAUUGUAAGUGAUUGAGUAUCUUAAUGUGGUAGAAACAAACAAUUAAAAGAGAUUAAAUGUUUACUCACAGCUCUGCACUUGAUACUUUGAAGGAAAGAUGGUCGACAUGGGCCUCCACAGCUCCUCAUCUUCAUCCUUCACUGUGAUGUAAACAUACAACAAUGAAAAUGUCAUUAAAGGAACAUCUGAAGUGCAAACAUGAUGCAGUGCAUCUUCUGUGUGUAUGGAGGAGCCAGAGGGAGGAGGCUGCUUCUUCUGGAGAUACAUGUGGAGUGUGUGCAUCUUCGUACCUGGAGCACAGCUCUUCUUAAGGGUGAAGGGUGCAGAGCCGUCGUCCCUGCUGUUCCAGAUCUCUCGCCCCGAGCACCAUUUACCUGUCAUGACGAAGAGCGCGACAUUGGUAAUAAGUGUAUCGAAGUGUAAAGUGUCUUCUCAGGAAAAGCCUCUUCCGUUCACCUUCUGACCAUAGCACUAUGUAAUAAACAACUUGACCAUAUUCGUCUGUCUGUUCUCUCAUUCUCACACUGAUGAAGGAAGUGUGCAGCUAUUGUACUACAGUAAAAAAAACACACCACAACCUGCUGUAAACACUGUAUUGAUAAGUAGAAAUUAUUCAUUCAUAUAACGUGCUUGCUACUUACUUAAUCAAAGUCUAUAAAUCAGAUAUUAUCCUAAUCAUUGAGUCAUUAAUGUGUUUACAUUAGACUGACUUUAAACAGUUUAAUCUAUAAUCAGAUCCUCAUAUUAGUUAACACAGGUGCACACAACUAACAGGUGACGUGACACAUAAAGUCAUUUAUAGGACGUGGCUCUUGUACUAAAGUACAGUAUUCAUGGCUAAUGAUCAGGCUGCAUCAAUGUUAACCAUUAGCAGUCACUUUGUAAUAUUUAUAAUAUAUAUAAAAUAGUCAUGAAAUGUAGCUGUGGAAACAUAAAAUUGUCACUGGCGUAUUUUCUUUUUCUUUCAUUUUAUUUGGACAUGAUGGGGAGUACAAUGUAACAUAGGACUUAUUUUUAAAUAUAACAACUACGAGUAAAUAAUACAAUUUUCCAUUCCGAUGAUUUAAAAUGAAGUAAUUGUCCUUAUUUUCAAAGAAUCCUCAGUAUCCAACCAGUCUAUUUGUAAAGUAAAUUUUUAAAAAUGGAGCAGAUUUUUGUAUACAGACAUUUAAUAUACAUUCUAAUGCUCUGCAAGAGUUUUGUUCUCUCGGUUAAAGUAUGGAAAAACAAACAACAGUAUUUUGCUGAAGGUUAUAAGGUCCCUUAAUCACGUGUUUUUGAUUAAGUGAAGGAACGAUCAGACAUGAAGACCUGGCAGCCCUCAAGCUGGGCCCAUCGAUUAGCCGAUUAAAAAUUUAAAAAAUAAGUAGUAGGCAUCGAUUACAUUCAUUUCGUUAAAAAAUACAUAAGCAAAUUAACCGACAGUAAUAUCCUUAACUCAUAUGAUUUAAAUGUUUUAACAUAUCCGGUGUAGGAAACAUCAAUGUGUCCGCUGUCUGUAACAACCUUCCCAGCAGGUGGCGGACUAUGAUUUGCAUUCCUCUGCAGUCAUCAGUGGAAAAAUCCAAAAAGUUUAAUUCUGCUUGGACGUAUUCAUCUGCUUUCACUGCAAACGAUGCUGGCUUACCUGUAUCCUUCAGAGCGACAAAUUGGCAAUCAGCAAAAAAAAAAAAUAUAUAUAUAUAUAUAUAUAAAAAUGUAAAUAUAGCUUUAACUUAGCUGAAAAAGUAUCGCGCUGGAGAGGAGCUGGAGAGGAGCAGAAAAGAGGGAUUUCUCCACUGCUUCAACAAACUGCGCAAUGAAAAUAUACUUUCAAUCUACUGUAACGACUCUCAAUGCGGAAAGCGACGAGACGCCAACUUGCUUUUACACUUUUAUUUGCUGACAGUCUGCUGACAAUAAUGCUGCUAAACGAUCACUCGCAUGUCUCACAAAGUGUGACGCACACAUCUAUCACGAUCACAUCGUACCGUCCCACCUCCCGCUCUCUGCCAACCACAGCGGGAGCCAGGAUGAUUGACAGGAUGAACCGUGAGUGCUUCACUGACCUCCUCAACUCAGUAAAUACGAUAACAAAUACUCUGAUCUUGAGCAGUUCAUAACAGAUUCACAUACUAUUGGAGCUACGUCACAACACUUUCACGAAGUAGAUCAAGUCUAAACUAAAAGGGUUGCCACCCGUCCCUUAAAAUACGGAAUCGUCCGGUAUUUGAGAAAAUAGCGCGUCCCGUUUUGAACCAAUACGUAUUUUACCGUAUUUCCGAGAUGUAGUCAAUGCAGCAUCCUAUGCAAAUAAUCCCACCUGAAUUCUGUGAAGUCUCGUUUUAUUCUGCUCCUGAUUGGGUAAUACUCGCUGCCAUCGUUGGUUUGAUUGUCCGUGAACCGGAAACAAGCCUAUCAGAGUCAGAGGAGGGUGGGUCUCUUGGCGAGUGUCGAUUUGAAAGAAUGGCGGAGGUAGCUCCAGACAUAGAUAUAUACAUAAAGACUAGACGUCCGCACACAGUAGCCAUCUUGGUACGGUCAGCUCGCUCACCCAUAACAUUGUGUUGUUAGUAGUACAUGUACUUUAAAAAAUAAUAACUUUGUCAACCGAUUUUUAAACGGUUUGGUUUGUUAUAUACGUCAGAGAUGUAGUUAUGACAAUGCAUACGUGAAUAAUGUUUUGUUUAAUAUAAUUUUCAUAGGAAAACCCCAUGGUUCUAAUUAUAAUUAAUAAAUAAGUAUGCAGUGUCAUAAAUACAUCUCCGUACAGGGUGGGGAUUUUAACAUAUAUAUGUUGUAUAUGUAUAUUUGUAAAGGGAAAUCUUAACCUCUUAACCUAUUUUAAAACAUUAUUCUAUAUUUUAGAACAUAACAGAAUUAUUCAUAGUAUGUAUGCAGUGUCAGAACUAUAUCUCUGACGUUUAUAACAAACCAAACGGUUUAAAAAUCAGUUGGAAAUUGUGGUUAUUUAAAAAGUACAUGUAUCACUACCAACACAAUGUUAUGGGUGAGCAAGAUGGCCGCCAUGUGCGGACUUUCAACUGUGUUGGCCGGCAACGCGGACAAGACAUCUAGUCUUUAUAUAUUAUAUAUAGCUAUGCCCCCUGAAAUUACGAACAUGGACAGAGGCAACCAGCUCUGAGCAUUGCAAGACCUCAAAAACUCCAUGGAUGAAGAUGAGGACGACGCAGACGCACCGAUAAAUGUCUUUGUCCUUGAAUUUCAGUACAGAAGUGACUACGAAAUGUUUGUGGGAGAGUUUAUUGACAAGGGCUACAAAGUCAAUGCCUGGUUCAAAGAGUGGGACUAGUUAAUUUUUUUAAUUUAUUUUCAUGUUGUUUUUACAUAUUUAUAUUAUUUCUUGUUGUUCUUUCUGACAGUCUCUGCGUCUCAUUUAAUUCUUCUAAUGGUCCCACUUAUGACAACUUCAGCUCUAUUGAUUAGGCAAAUAUUUAUGCUUUCAUGUGUAACUGAAUUUCUGUUCCAAUAGCACUUUUCAGUGAAAACAUAAAAGAAAAAAAUAACCUUAAAAAGAGUAUUUUUUGAAUAAACUCUGACAUCUAGAGGUAUUAUUGUGGCAGCGUGCAUAUCCUCAGGCAAUAGGAAAAAUAAGUGCUAGAAUAACAAAACAACAUGCUCAACAUGCUCAGCAAACCCAAUAAAUUGAAAAACAAAACCCCACUCAAGUCAAUAAAAAACAAGAAACAGCUCGGCAGCCUCUCGGAUCGAGUGGCGCUUUGAGGACGCCUAACAGGUUGCCAAUGAAUUGCCAGAGUGGCCACUGAUGUGCCACUGUUGCCACUGAUGUGCAACUGUUGCCACUGAAUUGCCAAUGAAUUGCCAGAGUGGCCACUGAU
ensembl:lncRNA